UAGGGAAUCUUCGGCAAUGGACGAAAGUCUGCCCGAGCAACGCCGCGUGAGUGAAGAAGGUUUUCGGAUCGUAAAACUCUGUUGUUAGAGAAGAACAAGGACGUUAGUAACUGAACGUCCCCUGACGGUAUCUAACCAGAAAGCCACGCCUAACUACGUGCCAGCAGCCGCGGUAAUACGUAGGUGGCAAGCGUUGUCCGGAUUUAUUGGGCGUAAAGCGAGCGCAGGCGGUUUCUUAAGUCUGAUGUGAAAGCCCCCGGCUCAACCGGGGAGGGUCAUUGGAAACUGGGAGACUUGAGUGCAGAAGAGGAGGGUGGAAUUCCAUGUGUAGCGGUGAAAUGCGUAGAUAUAUGGAGGAACACCAGUGGCGAAGGCGGCUCUCUGGUCUGUAACUGACGCUGAGGCUCGAAAGCGUGGGGAGCAAACAGG
rnacentral:rRNA from 1 species